GGGAAGUAGGAUAGCAGAGAAUCAUGACUUUGGGAUAAAGUCCUUCAGGGAAAAUAGAAACCUACACUUCGGAAUGAGACCAUGAAUCACAAAAUCUGACCAGAAGUCACAGUGCAUUGUGGAAAAGAGCUGGUUCAAGAGAUAAGAGAGAGCAACGAAAUUAGUCCUCGCCACCCAGCCAGCAGAUGAAGAAAGAGAAAGAGAGAGGAAAAGUGCAUGGGAGUGUGCAGGGCAGCACAACAAUACUGUCAUGAAUCAGGCAGCAGCCCCUGACUGCAGGGAAAGCUGGAAGCCUGACAUCACGGAAGUCGGACUGGGGAGGCACACAGCAGGCUCUGGCUUCCAUAAAGAUCCAUGUUAUUUGUGGAGACUGACAACACCAAGACCACAAAAACGGGGUCAGCUCUUUGCUAUGCCAAAUCUUAAAAUGGAAGUUGAAGUCUUUCUUUUAACCCAGAAACAGAGGCCCCCAUUUGGGCCCUUUCCAAAGCAUCUAAUGACUUAACUAUCCAGAUGUCAGAAGAGGACACGGCAACAGCCACCCUGGGCCCAUGUCCGUGCUUCUCAGGCCAGAACUGGCGAUGCCCCUGCACCCAGCCCCAUGGUCCCAGCCCUCUGCCACCUCAUCCCCAGUCUGACAAGCCACCCUAAUGGAUUGACCGUGGCCUUUG